rnacentral:rRNA from 1 species
AUGGCAUCUGCUGUACUCCUGCUUCAAAGGAUUGAUGGGGAGGUCGCAAGAAUAGGGAUGGUGCUACAAGCUUUCAUCAAGGUCAAUGCUCAUGGAGGUGACGUCAAUGCUGUCUUGAAAAAAAUCGAACCAUGCAGGAAGACUGUAUCUUUUUUGAGGAUCAGGAAGACUGCAUCUAAUCUUUAUAGAGAAUAA